CCUGUCUCAGUUCGGAUUGGAGCUGCAACUCGACUCCAUGAAGCUGGAUUCGCUAGUAAUCGCGCAUCAGCCAUGGCGCGGUGAAUACGUUCCCGGGCCUUGUACACACCGCCCGUCAAGCCAUGGAAGCCGGGAGUGCCUGAAGUGUGCAACCGCAAGGAGCGCCCUAAGGUAAAACUGGUGACUGGGGCUAAGUCGUAACAAGGUACC
rnacentral:rRNA from 1 species